GACGAACGCUGGCGGCGUGCCUAAUACAUGCAAGUCGAACGAACCGCGACUAAGUGCUUGCACUAAGUCAAGGUGAGUGGCGAACGGGUGAGUAACACGUGGGUAACCUACCUCAUAGUGGGGGAUAACAGUCGGAAACGACUGCUAAUACCGCAUAGGACAUAGGAUCACAUGAUCCAGUGAGGAAAGGUGGCGCAAGCUAUCGCUAAGAGAUGGACCCGCGGUGCAUUAGCUAGUUGGUAGGGUAAAGGCCUACCAAGGCGAUGAUGCAUAGCCGACCUGAGAGGGUGAUCGGCCACAUUGGGACUGAGACACGGCCCAAACUCCUACGGGAGGCAGCAGUAGGGAAUCUUCCGCAAUGGACGCAAGUCUGACGGAGCAACGCCGCGUGAGUGAAGAAGGUCUUCGGAUCGUAAAGCUCUGUUGUUAGAGAAGAACAGCGCAUAGAGUAACUGCUAUGCGUGUGACGGUAUCUAACCAGAAAGCCACGGCUAACUACGCGC
rnacentral:rRNA from 1 species